ensembl:rRNA 5S_rRNA 5S ribosomal RNA
UAAAAUUGCCAUAUCACCCUGCAACUCACAACUGGCAACCCACUGAAGCUAAGCAGGUGUGAGCCUGGUCAGUAGCUGGAUGGGAGACCUUCUGGGAAAAACUAAGGUUGCUGCUGGAA